rnacentral:tRNA from 1 species
GAAAAAGUAUUGCAAGAACUGCUAACUCAUGCUCCCACACCUGACAACUGUGGCUUUUUCA